AUUGAACGCUGGCGGCAUGCCUUACACAUGCAAGUCGAACGGUAACGCGGGGCAACCUGGCGACGAGUGGCGAACGGGUGAGUAAUGCAUCGGAACGUGCCCAGUAGUGGGGGGGAUAGCUCGGCGAAAGCCGGAUUAAUACCGCAUACGACCUACGGGUGAAAGCGGGGGACCGUAAGGCCUCGCGCUAUUGGAGCGGC
rnacentral:rRNA from 1 species